rnacentral:rRNA from 1 species
UACGAAGGGUGCAAACGUUGCUCGGAAUUACUGGGCGUAAAGCGUGCGCAGGCGGUUUUGUAAGUCUGUCGUGAAAUCCCCGGGCUCAACCUGGGAAUUGCGAUGGAGACUGCAAGGCUAGAAUCUGGCAGAGGGGGGUAGAAUUCCACGUGUGAGCAGUUGAAAUGCGUAGAGAUGUGGAGGAACACCGAUGGCGAAGGCAGCCCCCUGGGUCAAGAUUGACGCUCCAUGCACGAAAGCGUGGGGAGCAAACAGG